UUCGGUCUAUUUUCUCUUCCACUCUCUCUCUCAAGGGUUUUAGAUCCAAACAGAAGCUGAAGCGCCCACCCAAAAUCUUCCAUGGCCUUCAAACGCCUAUCUAAGAGCAGCGAUGAUGGAAUCUUAUCGUGAAUCUCCGAUCAUCCAUCGUGCGGAAGGGGAAGAGCGCCGGCAAGGCCGCCUGGAUCCUCGGCACCACCGUCAUCAUCCUAGGGAUCCCGCUCAUCAUCGAGAUGGAUCGUGAGGCGCAGCUCAACGAGGCCGAGCUACAGCAGGCCUCCCUCCUCAGCGGCGCCGCCCCUGGCUUCAUGCCGCCGCCACAGUGAUUUCGAAUGGAAAACCCCCAUCUACUUAGGUGAAUCUUUGAUGUUGGUCUUCCACUGUCUCUCUCUCUUUCAAAUAGCAGGGCACGACACAGGCAGCCCGCGGCAGGCUGCAACCGCUCAUCCGCCCUCGGCCGUCGGCCCCUCUCGUUGCCAACUCGCCACCCUCCGUCUCUAUUGUCGCUGCUCCGCGUUCGUUGCGCUCCCGUAACUGCUCCCCCGUUUGAUGCUCCGAUGUUCGCUGUUCUGUUCCUGGUAUUGAUGAAUUAAAAUCCUAAUUUUGUUGCUUCCUGCAAAUUUAUGUUUGUGAUAGUCUAGGGUUUCAAUUUUAUGUUAUGAUUUUAUAUUGCUACUUGGGAUUUUCUGUUCUAGGGUUUAUCUGUUCAAUUGAUUGGUUUAUCUUUUCUAUGCUUUUAUUUCAAUUUAUAUUUUUCAAAGCUAUCUGUUAAUUGAAAGGAUAACUUCGGGUGAUUCUGAUAUUGCUCUAAAAUCGACUCCAUAAAUUUAUUCUCACGACCAAUUCUCGUGACUGUUGAUUGUGGGUUAUUAUCCUGGUAAUGAUAAAUGGAAAAUUACUCUUGAUUUAUUAUGUUAUGGUGCUGCUAUGGUACAGAUGAUGAUAUCUUUAUGUCAGGCUAUUCCUUUGUAUUCCUUGCUCACAUAACCAAAAAUCCCCAAAUUUUUAUUUUUGUUCUGCGACAUGAGCAAAGAGAAAGAGAAGCCGGAGCCUCUGGAUUUCUUUAUUUGGACUGUUGAGGUAAUUCUUCAAUUUGCCUAAUGUGGGUAUUUGGUUCUUCCUUCCCUUCACAGCAUUAGUAUAUUUAGUGUUUUAGUUUACAUAUCAUCAUAGAAAUGUACAAAAUAUUGAUUUUUUCAUCACAAUUUUAAGAUUUUCCUUUUUCUUCCUGGAAUGAAUUUAAAUUGAGGAGAAUUUUGUGACUGAACUCAAAUGCUAAAUUCCAACAUGAUUCCAGAGCCAUCGCUUCACUGGUUUCGGUUAGAUAAAUAGGUAACCUUAAAUUAGAUGUAUAGGGAAAACUGUUCAAAUCAACAUGAUGAUGGAUUUGUAUGAUUAAUGCUACUUAUUUCUUAUUUCUGCUUCCUACAGUUCUGCAUUUGUUGGGGUUUUUAUAAUCACAUCACCGUUGGCAUUAUAUUGUCCUAAAGUUUGUCAAGUCACAUGUCUUGGCAAAGUGGAAGUGCUAAUAAAAUUAUUCAAAUCAUAGUACUUUCAUCAUGUUUAGCAAUAGAAUUAAUAAUUAGAGUUCUUUUUUUCUUAAUAGGUGGAGCUUAGGAAUUUAUUUGAGUUAUUCCGAACAUUGCUUGCUCAUGUUGUAAAUCAUACAAAUAAUUUUAUUUAAACUAAUUCACAAUUGUAAUUUUUUUAUGUUCAAGCACUCACUUGCUCAUUGUGAUGACUGAAUUUAGUUGAUCUUCCUUCAAUUUUACUACAUCACUAAAAUGAAUGUUUCAUUUUGUUGCAUGCAUGAUUGCAUAUAGCUAUGUUUGGAUAAACUUCUUCUAUUCUUGCAGAUGGUAUAUAUUGCUCUCCACCCUAAAUUUCUUUACGUAUUAAUAGUAGUUUAGGCAUUAGCAUUAUCUACCGUUCCAGGAGGAGCCAAGAAAGAUGAACAUAUACAGGGAAGACGCUAUAGAUGCUCUUAUUUCUUGUCUGAGAAACUCAGAAUCCCCAGCUGCACAAAUCUCUACCGCAGAGACCAUAUUGUCCCUGGUUUGUGGUGGAUUAAAUGAGCUGUACGUUGAGCUGAAGAGGCUUGUGAAUUCAGAAGAAAAGUUGUACCAGAUGGCUAGCUAGUUGCAUAUUUAAUAUGUUUAGUAUUUUUGUAAGGCAUAAUAGUAUUAGAUAGAGUAGUUGUUAAAUUUUGACUAUAUAGGCUAUGGUGUAUGAAUUCUUUUUUAUGAUAAUAAUAUAUGGAUUUUGAUUA